GAUUUCUUCCAAAAGAACGGCUACCCCAAGCAGUUUAUUGAAACAAUUAUCCGGACAGUGCUCGACAAGAUGUUCAAUAAGCGCAGUAUGACUGCACCAACAGUUCCAAAGUUGGAGAAGUAUUUUGUCCUCGCAUAUCUAGAUUCGUCCCGAUAUCAGAGAACACUUCUUUCGGUCUGCCUCGCCUUGAGACGAAUCUGCGGAACGCCAUGAGGAAGCUGUCGGUGCUGAGCGAGUGGCACAGCUCGAGGUGCACUGCUCGGGUGGCGAGGCACGUCACCAACAGUCCGUACCUCUUCUCAUGCCGUCCUCCCGUCUUGACGAGCAUAGGACCAAAAAAAAUCGAGACCGACGCUGCUGAACACACACUGCUGGCGUGUCGAACCGCGCCGGGGGCAGAUCUGCCAUCUUCGGCUGGCACGGUUUUGCGCGGCGCCGGCGACACACCGGACAGGUGUGCAGGACUCUCCUCACCAUUGCUCUCCCUCUGGGUAUCCAGAAUAGCUGUCGCAGAUCUUUCAGUGUCUGCUCGACUCCGGCGUGCAAUAGCUUCUGGUGGACGUCCUUCACGAUCAGAGCUGUCACGCGGCUGCACACAGAUCCAUCGCAAUUUCAAAUGUGGCUAAAACCUCGAAUAAUGACCAUUUUUAAAUUCCUUCAGUGAGUGAUUUUUUUAACACAAAACGGAUUGAAGCAUCUGAAAUCACCUUCGGCAUAUUUGUUAACCACCUGAUCUCCGCUCACCGCAGUCGUGAACCUGGAACUUCUUCGGAAGCGCAUGGUAGACCCAAAAGACAUGUGAAACGCGCGCAACUUUGAGUGACUGUAACAUUGUAAUAAUUUGAUCGAAACCGCAAUAAAUGGGCAUCGCUGUGUUGCA